AAUCUCUGUCGUGUGAAGUCAAAUAUUUGUGGACAUGUCUACAAAGCUUCAUAAGGUUUUAGGCAUCAUUGGGCUUUAUUGAGCUUUAUUGGGCCUAUGAAUUGGUAGAGCCCAUAAAAUAAGAGUUUUUAGGGGUUAGAUGCAUAUAAAAGAGUAAGCUGACCAUCAAAAUCUAUCUAGCUACUCCGCCGCUUUUCUCAUUUGCUUAGAUCUAAAACCCCAUCCAGAGGAGGGAAAGGGUGAAUCUUCUGAGGCAACCAGCAUGAGGGCUAAGUGGAAGAAGAAGCGUAUGAGGAGGUUGAAGAGGAAGAGACGAAAGAUGAGACAGCGAUCUAAGUAGUUUCGUAACCUGUUUUUGUCUCUUUACCGACAUUUGUGAGAGUUUUGUUGGUUUUCUGUCUACAUUUUAAUGUUUUUGUUGGACCAAGCUAUGAUUUCAAUCAGAAUACUUAUGUUUAUUA